CCUACAAAAGGGAGCAGGAGAUUCCUCCCUUUAUAACAAUGCAAGUAUUUUGGGUUUUUUCUUUCUUAUCAGAAAUUCAAAUUGAAAAGCUUGACGUGACCUGGGUUUUACUUGAUAAGCAGCCCUGGGGUUAGUCUAACUUUGCGCUGUCUGGAUAGUAAGUGUAAUAAUGCCUUGAUUUCUGUAUCCUGGCAGUGGUGAUUCAGACAGAAUGAUGGGAAGCAGGAAGGUCUUUACAACCAGAUUCAAAACCUAAGCCAGUUCAUUUUUAUAUACAGUUUUUGUAAUCUAACAUAUAGCCUGUGAUUUUAGUAAAUUCAGAUACUUAGUACAUUCAUGGAAAAUGAAUUUCAAAGAUUUAAGUCAGGUUGUUGACUACUUUCUUUCACUUGUGAUAAAUAUAUCACUAUACAGGGUAAUUGUUUCCACUUGAUACUCUGUACUUGCUUAUAAUUCAAGAAAAGCCAACUCUAGUGUGUCAUUUUAUUUCAUCUCAUAGAAGCUUCUGGCAGAACUGAAGUUUCAAGAAUGUAGAAUUUAUGUUGGAUAAUGCUUGUAUUCAGCAUACUGGUGAUAUGUUGGAUAAUGCUUGUAUUCAGCAUAAUGGUGGCAUUCCUUUCUUUGCAUUACUCA
rnacentral:lncRNA from 1 species